rnacentral:rRNA from 1 species
CCUACGGGAGGCAGCAGUGAGGGAUAUUGGUCAAUGGACGAGAGUCUGAACCAGCCAAGUAGCGUGAAGGAUGACUGCCCUAUGGGUUGUAAACUUCGUUUAUAUGGGAAUAAAAUGUUCCACGUGUGGGGUUUUGUAUGUACCAUAUGAAUAAGGAUCGGCUAACUCCGUGCCAGCAGCCGCGGUAAUACGGAGGAUCCGAGCGUUAUCCGGGUUUAGGGGGUUUAAAGGGAGCGUAGGUGGAUUGUUAAGUCAGUUGUGAAAGUUUGCGGCUCAACCGUAAAAUUGCAGUUGAAACUGGCAGUCUUGAGUACAGUAGAGGUGGGCGGAAUUCGUGGUGUAGCGGUGAAAUGCUUAGAUAUCACGAAGAACUCCGAUUGCGAAGGCAGCUCACUGGACUGCAACUGACACUGAGGCUCGAAAGUGUGGGUAUCAAACAGGAUUAGAUACCCCAGUAGUC